AGCGAACGCUGGCGGCAGGCCUAACACAUGCAAGUCGAACGAAGUCUUCGGACUUAGUGGCGGACGGGUGAGUAACACGUGGGAACGUGCCUUUAGGUUCGGAAUAACUCAGGGAAACUUGUGCUAAUACCGAAUGUGCCCUUCGGGGGAAAGAUUUAUCGCCUUUAGAGCGGCCCGCGUCUGAUUAGCUAGUUGGUGAGGUAAAGGCUCACCAAGGCGACGAUCAGUAGCUGGUCUGAGAGGAUGAUCAGCCACAUUGGGACUGAGACACGGCCCAAACUCCUACGGGAGGCAGCAGUGGGGAAUCUUGCGCAAUGGGCGAAAGCCUGACGCAGCCAUGCCGCGUGAAUGAUGAAGGUCUUAGGACUGUAAAAUUCUUUCACCGGGGACGAUAAUGACGGUACCCGGAGAAGAAGCCCCGGCUAACUUCGUGCCAGCCGCCGCAGUAAUAC
rnacentral:rRNA from 1 species